AUUAACUUCCACAGCUGCUGGAAGACAAGGGGGAGGAGGAGAGACAGGAGAGGAAGGGUGGGAGGUCUGUGGAGUGGAGCACGUAGCCUGCUUACAAAUUAACACCACAACCAAACUCGGACAGCGUGCAGUGAGUUUCUCUCUCCCUGCUGUUGCAGCUCUGCCUCCCCUCUCUCUCUCUCUCCCUCUCUCUCUCUCUCUCUCUCAUGAGCCAUCUUCUCGGGCUCCGCGUUGAUGCUGCUGCUUGAUGCUCCACUUCGGACCGACUUCCUCCGGUUGCUGCGCACCGAGCAGCAGCAGCAGCAUCAGCAGCAGCAGCAUCAGUACCACAUUACACGACUCUCUGCAACCGACAACCACGGAUAGACCCCGGACACUGCAGGAGGUGACAGAUCCAGAAUCAGAUCGAGCCUCUGCAUUAACCACGGAGACAUCGGCCAUGCCAGAUCUGCUCGGGGAGAGGAGGGGAAAUCUUGAUAAGUAUUUUAUUUUUUUUGCUCCUCCAAAGUCUGCUCGGUGAUGACUUCCCACUCGAGAUGAGCCUUCUCCCGGACUCUAUCCAAACACCCGGGCUGUGAGAUAUACAAGACUUUUAUCACCGAUAAAACUCGGCUCAUCAACGACAAUAAAAGACACUUUAUUAGUCACCGACUGCGCUCCUCUACUUGGAAGGAAAAAAGCACAUUUAUUGGCUGCAAAUCAAAAGAGCCAGGAGGAUCGAGAGUGCGAGACGAAUGGUUUGGGUAACUAAAAAAAAAAAAGCUUCACUUUCCUUUUCUCCCAGCAGCCAUGCACGGAUAUAUUAUAAACCCACAGUAUACCUGCUGUUAAUAGGGCAGUUAUGAAACAGGUGUUGCAGGAGAAGCGGUUUCAUAGAGAUUGUUAAAUUGCCAGAGGAUGCAAGGCGUCGCACUGCAUGCUGGGGCUGAUAACCACAUUUUCCAAGGAAAUGUGAUAACUAACUGUAAAAAAAAAACAAAAAGCCCCUUAGGGCAACAUUUCACAAAUCAACAGAUGUUUCAGUCAUGUGGCUGGAGAGAGGGAUUUAUUCAUUAUCAGGGCUUGCACACUGCCUGGCUCUCCAUUAAUUAAUUAGUUUGCACAUAAUGACAUAGAUGUUUGUCCUGAUGCCCUUGGUGCUCCAGUGGCACCUGUGAUAACUAGUGGAGGAUCUGGUCUUUGAUGUGAUGUGAAAACUGUCUGCUUGUGGAGAUAAACCGGUGGGUGUAAACAAACUAAUCUUGGCUGUGCAUGGAUUUCUGUCCACCUGGAAAUCACCCAAUAUUAAUAGAAAACAAAUGAAAGUGGCAAACCCGCCCCCUGCUUUAUCUCUGUCAGGCUUUUUUUUUGGACGAUUACUGGUGCAGAUGGAGGGAGAGCCAUGUGUACUGGUGUCACACAAGCUUAUAGACAACAAGUGACGGGGGAAAAAUUGAUUUUCUUCACUACAAAAAACGAGAACGCAAAAAAUUUCACCUGAACACUAUUACAUGUCAUUACUCAUGCUUACAGCGAAAUAGGUUCCCUCACCUCGUCAAUGGCAGUGUCAUUUUCCCAGACAGGGGGAUGAUGAAUUGGGUCAUUAUUGAUGAGCUGGAGUGGACACACGGGCUGUCAUCCCAGUCCCUCACUCAGAACAGAAUAAAUUACGCGGUGUUGACAGGGAGUCAAAAACACAAACACAGGCUGACAGGGAGAUAUCCAGGGUGAAAUUUAAGGCUCAGGUGGAAUAUCUUAAGAGGCACGGCCUCGAGAAAAAGCCAGCUGCCAACACUGGCUGUAAACUUCUCCAUCCCCCUCCCUUCUCUUCCCUUCAGAUUGGGUUUGUUCCCUGAGAAAGAAAAAUUUAAAUUCCAAUAUCCUCUCAAUCUGCGACUUGGUGGAAUUCAUUCAAUUUUGGGGGGAAUGGUAAUCAAGUUGCAGUAAGCGCUGAGACAAAAGGCUCCAUAGACAAUCAGAUAUUACGAAUGCUGGCAUGAUCCACGCCUGUCCUCCCACCACGCCUCCGAGCGGAUUAAUCAGUCGAGAUCGUUCCUUUCCUCAUCUCUUUGAUUCAUCUGUUGCAGAACAAACUCUAAUGUCUGUGACAUUUCAAUAGCCCCGGUGAUGAAUACAUUUGGAUUCAUCCAGGCCAGGCUGGCGCAUGAACUGCACAUCUUCAUAGAAGUGGGUGGAAGUCACUUUCUAUCUGCAUUCGAGUCUUCCUCUUCAUCACUUUCACCCCCUCUCACCCUGAGCUUAUUUAUGAACUAUUACCAUCACGCAGUAACACUUUAUUAGGAAUGUAGACAGCCAAGAGGCCUAUUAAUCUUUCACAUGCAGUCGUAUGCUCAUUCUCCUUCACACACACACAAUCUCAAACCCUCUUUUUUCACCCAGCGGAGCUCCUCAGCCCUCUUCAAUGAUUCAGACAGCACUGAGGAGAUGGCAGAGCUCCUGUUAGUCUUACAGUGAGGGAAGAUAUCAAUACACACUUUUCACUGGCAGACUUUUCUCAGAGGCCGCAAUCGCGCCGACAAUCUCUCGCUCGAUCACGCUGAACUGUUGCCAUUACGACACAUCUGAGCUGGUAGUGAUUUUGUAUUAUAAUGGCAUCGAUCCAGCUGAGGGGUUGACACCCCCGAGUGGUGCUGAGCAGAUAACAGACAGUCCACUGGUCUGUGCUGUGCUUUUCAGCUAAAUACGAUAAAGAGACGUCGGUUCGAUUACACUGUAAAAAUCAAUGAUCGUUCCUCCCGUUGUGUCAAUAUUGAGGUUUAUGCAGUCCGUGGCUGAGAUAUGAGCUGCAAAAAAAAUAAAAAUUAACCCUCGUGAUCAGCAGAAUUAGCAUUACCUUCAUGCACUCCUCAGACAUACACAGUGUGUACACAAAGACACGAGUCACAUUUCCAAACAAAUAGCAAGUUAUCCAUAUUCAUCUGAAAUGAGAGGGGGAUUUGAGAUGAUUAAAGACUGCAGCGCAGUAUGAGAAUAAACACGGCAGACUAUAGAGGCAAAGGAAAGGCUUUGACGGGGCACCUAGCUGCGCUCGAAUGCAAUUAAUUAAUAAUGAAUAAGAUGAGAACAAAAAAGAAGAGAAACAACAAUAAUACACCGAAAAAAGUAACAGCAGAGAGGAAAGUCUGUGAAUCAAAAAGAAUCACAGCUAGGACCUUUAUGGAAAAUGAACAGUAUCUAAUUCAAAGAGCUGCAGAGUUACAAAAAAAAGAAGAAAACACAAUUUAACAGGCUACUCAGCCUGAGCAGCCAGGGUAGAUGUAGCUCUGGCCAAAGAUGAAGGGCGCACACUGUUUAAUAGGCAGCCAAUGACUUUAACCAUAGCAACAAGCAUCAAACUAUUUUACAUUCGGUUUUGAAUUAGUGCUAGGAAAAACAAGCAUGUUCUUAUUCUGCAAAUUUGUCAGUUUUGUUGAGGACAGAUGGCACCGCGUGGAGCGAUGGGAGCAGAUUUAACUGCGUGCAUGUGUGUGUGUCUCUUUCAGGCAUGGUGCCCACGCCCCAGGUGUGCGUAUCAACCCUGGUCACAGUGAGCACGAUGGCAGUGGUGGACCUCUACCUGCUGGAGCAGAGCAUGCUGGGGUCUCGCGGUCCCCCGGGGCCUGGCGUGUGGCAGUGUGCUGCGGUGUUGCUAGGUGAUGUGGGCUUCCUGCUCGCGCUGCGCUUCGUGUCAGCCGGCGUGACAUCAGAGGCGCGGUCGCCGCGUCGUGGCUUCGCCAACGCCCUCUGGUUCCUGUUCCUGUCGCUGCUCCAGCUCAAGCUCUUCUUCGUCUGCCACAACUACAGGCAGGAGCGCCGGCCGCCCGACCCGCUGGCCAGGAAGACGCUGACGCUGCUGCUGUCCAUCUGCUUGCCCUCCCUGUUUCUCAUCCUGACGGGAGCUGACCACAUGACGCCGCAGCGCAGGAAGCAGGAGGUGCGGGGCCGGCUCCUGUGGGUGGUGGUGGACCUGCUGGAUGUGCUGGACCUGCAGGCAGGGCUCUGGGAGGCCCAAGGUGGGGCUGCAGCGGGGACUGGAGGGGUCGUUGAGCAGAGGCUGCCCAUCUGGGCCGAGGGCCUGGUCUUCUUUUACUGCUACGCCCUCCUGCUGCUGCUGCCCUGCGUGGCCCUCACAGAGCUGGGGGCCACCGGCCUGCCAGGACAGAGGGGGCCCCGUAAGGAGGCUUUGUACCCCUGGCUCAGCCUAGUCACUAUCAACAUCUUCACCUUGGCCCUGAGGGGCACAGGUAUGCUGUGGUACAGGGACCCCCGUGUGUCCACGGUGUUCCUGGGGAAGAACCUGCUGGCUCUGGGUGUGAAGCUGAGCUCCGCCUGGGAGAGACACAAGCAGGAGCGCGGCGCAGCAGGAGCCGGGACGGUGGCUGGAGCAGAACCAGGAGACUCGACCCUGCCAAACCAGAGCUCAGAGCAGGGAGAGAGCCAGGCCCAGGGGAAAGCUCCUCCCUCUCAUUAUCACACACUGUCUCGCUCCCAAAGCCACACUCUCUCCCACGUCAGCCUGGAGCCCACAGAGACGCCCCUAGGACCUUCUUUCAUCUCCCAUGAACUCUAGAGAGUCACUCUUCAACAUGCACGCAUGCACAAAAGCAUGUGAUCACGCCCACAUUUGAAAACUCAGACCAGCAGAGCCAGUAUCACAUCCAAACAGAUAACUUGUAUUGAAUUUCAGUACAUCAGUGAUGGGUAUAAUGCCCGAGCUGUGGAAAUGCAUUUGGCAGGCUUGGCUUUCUGCACAUUUUGUAGUGCUAAGAAUAACUCAAAAAGCAUUGCUGGGAUUUGUGGGAGUGUAUUUUUUAAAUUGAACACUGUGAACACAUUUAUCAGCCUGUAAAGAAUAUUCCAGAAAUGUAUGUUGAAGUCUAGUAGUGUUUUAAUCCCUUCUUUAAUCUGGGCACAGCCGCCCAAACUGCCACUCAUUUGUUGUUGCAUUCAGACACCUGUUUUAAUUCUGCUCCUCCAUAUACAGCAUCUCAUCUGUGGUUUCCGCAUUUGUUAAAUUUGAGUUCAGGUCAUGUGGCUCGUCGGAAAAAUUUUAUCAACCCUCUUCUGUCAUUAAGAUCCCAAAAUACAGACGUGACCUUUAGUGAAGUUUUUUUUCUCUGUCACUUUACCGGGACCUUUCACAGAGAGAAAGUUAAAUACAGAAGAGGGAUGAUUUAUUUUUCUCUUCAGUAACACAAAGCCAGGAUGCUCACACUCAACACGGUGCUCCAGUAUUUCAGUGUAAAGUCAAACCCAGUGGAUCCAAACCCUUCCGACUUGUAGCCCUUUAAAUCACUCACGACCCCAAGUGAUGUUCACCUCUUAGAUUUUUCUCAUUUUAAUACAUUUUAGAGGCCUGAAGGGUUAAAGCUAUUAAAGCUAUCCAGUUUUUCAAAAGCAAGAGAAGAAAAUAAAAAUAAUGUGUAGAAGAUGUUUUCUCCUCAUAUCCUAUCUUGUUUUAUACUCUCUUGCAACCCCUCAGAGGGUCCCUACACCUGGGCAACACAAGUGUCGUGGUGCCAGAUUUUCAUUCAAACCAAACAGAAACACAGUUGUCUGGCUGGAAAUGCUAACCACUGUGGUGUUUGGUUGGAGUGAAAACCUGCAGACUUCAACCUGUUCUCACUCCCAGCUCGUUAAAUACUGCUGAAUGGGCAGCUCCAACAUCAGAAACCGACACACGGAAGAAGCCUUUAGAGACUGUAUGUGAUGAACUGGGCUUUCAACUAACUCCGGUGUAAACCUACCCACGGUGUUAUUUGACGGUCGGAGCAAGUGACGUAGUAUUAAUAGCGUGAUGGUACGUGUCCACAGCCUCUGUCCUUUCCAUGCUUCCCAUUCAUUGUAUAUGUAAGCAGCCGUGCAAUGUAUUCUGGUAGCGUAGUGGCGCGAUUCGAGAGACGGGGCAUCACGAUGGCUGCUUCUCAUUUGCAUUAAGUUGAGGUCAAGGCUACGUAAUGCAAAUCAGGGGCGUCUGGCGCAACUCACCGCCUCUGCAAACUCCCCAGAAACUUUUAAACUAACCCUUGUUGAUCAAAAAUGAAGACAGAUUCAGCAAAUGCAUGGCUUAUUUCUCGCAUAAAAUGCUUUCAGAAACACAUUUCAUUUAACUAUUUUCGUGAUGUAAGAGAAGAAAGCUUACCAACAAAGCGCCAUGUUGGUUCUGGUUUGAAAGCUAGAAGGAGCAGCCCACGAGGGAAUGCAUCCGUCCAAUCAGGUGCCUAGUGUCUUGUGUCUAGUGGCAGCCCAUCAAGCGUCCAAUGCAGGGAAGCGAGACGAUCCCUCGAGAUAAAAAACACCCAUGUGGACACGUACCAAAAAUGUGAGAGGUCCAGCA